rnacentral:rRNA from 1 species
CACCGCGGUUAUACGAGAGGCUCAAGUUGAUAGACUUCGGCGUAAAGCGUGGUUAAGAAAAUUUCAAACUAAAGCCGAAUGCCCUCAGAGCUGUUAUACGCUCACGACGGCUAGAAGCCCAAUUACGAAAGUAGCUUUACACAACCUGAACCCACGAAAGCUAUGGCA